rnacentral:rRNA from 1 species
CGUAGGUGGUUUGUUAAGUCAGAUGUGAAAGCCCCGGGCUCAACCUGGGAACUGCAUUUGAAACUGGCUAACUAGAGUAUAGGAGAGGAAAGUGGAAUUUCAGGUGUAGCGGUGAAAUGCGUAGAUAUCUGAAGGAACAUCAAUGGCGAAGGCAGCUUUCUGGACUAAUACUGACACUGAGGUACGAAAGCGUGGGUAGCAAACAGGAUUAGAUACCCUGGUAGUCCACGCCGUAAACGAUGAUAACUAGCCGUUGGGAGGAUUUACCUCUUAGAGGCGAAGCUAACGCGUUAAGUUAUCCGCCUGGGGAGUACGGCCGCAAGGCUAAAACUCAAAGGAAUUGACGGGGACCCGCACAAGCGGUGGAGCAUGUGGUUUAAUUCGAUGCAACGCGAAGAACCUUACCUGGUCUUGACAUACAGAGAACUUUCCAGAGAUGGAUUGGUGCCUUCGGGAACUCUGAUACAGGUGCUGCAUGGCUGUCGUCAGCUCGUGUCGUGAGAUGUUGGGUUAAGUCCCGUAACGAGCGCAACCCUUAUCCUUAUUUGCCAGCACAUCAUGGUGGGAACUAUAAGGAGACUGCCGGUGAUAAACCGGAGGAAGGCGGGGACGACGUCAAGUCAUCAUGGCCCUUACGACCAGGGCUACACACGUGCUACAAUGGGAAGGACAAAGGGUUGCUAAGCCGCGAGGUGGUGCUAAUCUCAUAAACCUUUUCGUAGUCCGGAUCGGAGUCUGCAACUCGACUCCGUGAAGUCGGAAUCGCUAGUAAUCGUGGAUCAGAAUGCCACGGUGAAUACGUUCCCGGGUCUUGUACACACCGCCCGUCAUACC